rnacentral:tRNA from 1 species
AUCAUAGUAGCUUAGUGGUUGGAGUAUCAGUCUCCAAUUUUAAGGUACUAAGUUCAAAUCUUGCCUUUGACA